GGACUACUGGGGUAUCUAAUCCCGUUCGCUCCCCUAGCUUUCGUGUUUGAGCGUCAGAAACGCGCCAGUGCACUGCCUUCGCCUUUGGUGUUCCCCAUGAUAUCAACGGAUUUCACCCCUCCACCAUGAGUUCCGUGCACCUCUCGCGCUCUCGAGCUUAGCCGUUUCGCAUGCGGACCGUAGGUUGAGCCCACGGAUUUUACACGCGACUAACUAAGCCGCCUAGACACCCUUUACGCCCAGUGAUUCCGGAUAAUGCUCGGGGCCUCUGUAUUACCGCGGCUGCUGGCAC
rnacentral:rRNA from 1 species